rnacentral:rRNA from 1 species
UACAGAGGUCUCAAGCGUUGUUCGGAUUCAUUGGGCGUAAAGGGUGCGUAGGUGGCGCCGUAAGUCAGGUGUGAAAUUUCGGAGCUUAACUCCGAAACUGCAUUUGAUACUGCGGUGCUUGAGGACUGGAGAGGAGACUGAAAUUCACGGUGUAGCAGUGAAAUGCGUAGAUAUCGUGAGGAAGACCAGUGGCGAAGGCGGGUCUCUGGACAGUUCCUGACACUGAGGCACGAAGGCCAGGGGAGCAAACGGG